UAUUUGUAAUACAUAAUACAUGUGGACGAUAAUUUAGAUUAUUAGUUGUUAAUUUGAAUCACUAUUGACGUUAUGAUUUCUUUUUUGAAAAAUGGUCGAUAAUUUAGAUAGUGAACGUGAAAGUGAUCAAGAGGAUUAAAUAUUCAUGAAAUCGAGGACAAAAGAGAAGCUGAUUAAGAAGCGCUCGGUUUACGAUGUUUGCGGAACAUGUCAGUCUUCCUCUGGUCUCACCAAUAUGCGCAUGCACGCUGAAACUACGUGGGAGGAGCUGAAACAGAGUUCGAGCAGCUACCAAGGGAACUUCUCUCUGACGCCCCUCUCUUUAUAUACAAUUCAGGAUAGCUAUGUAUUUACUACGUACGUGUGUGUGAACUGCAUCAACCUAGGAUAUUCUAAAGAAGAAACGAACGCCUUCCCGAUCGUUUAAUAUUUGCACCAAUGAAAAUUCGACGAUGGAUUAAAAAUCAUAGAAGAUAUUUUAUAUUCGGCUUGAAAUCACAAUUUGUUGGAUUUCGUAGAAAAUUUUCCGAGGAAAUCUCGCAUGGGAAAAUUUCGUUUAUACGAGCUUACCUUCUUCUUCUCAAAAAAAAAAAAAAAAAAAA
rnacentral:lncRNA from 1 species